GGUUGAAUAGCUCAGUGGUAAGAGCAGUCGCCCGGCAAGCGAAAGACUCGGGUUCGAUUCCCGAUUCAGCGA
rfam:Camponotus floridanus CamFlo_1.0_4.contig6509, whole genome shotgun sequence.